rnacentral:rRNA from 1 species
AGUGAACGCUGGCGGUAGGCCUAACACAUGCAAGUCGAACGGCAGCACAGUAAGAGCUUGCUCUUACGGGUGGCGAGUGGCGGACGGGUGAGGAAUACAUCGGAAUCUACUUUUUCGUGGGGGAUAACGUAGGGAAACUUACGCUAAUACCGCAUACGACCUACGGGUGAAAGCAGGGGAUCUUCGGACCUUGCGCGAUUGAAUGAGCCGAUGUCGGAUUAGCUAGUUGGCGGGGUAAAGGCCCACCAAGGCGACGAUCCGUAGCUGGUCUGAGAGGAUGACCAGACACACUGGAACUGAGACACGGCCCAGAAUCCUACGGGAGGCAGCAGGGGGGAAGAUUGGACAAUGGGCGCAAGCCUGAUACAGCAAUACCGCGUGGAGGAAGAAGGCAUUCGGGUUGUAAAGUCCGUGUGUAGGGAAAGAAAAGCAGCAGGUGAAUACAGCGGGGGCAUGACGGUACCGAAAGAAUAAGCACCGGCUAACUUCGUG